AAACCAGCACCUCAAGUGGUCAGGAUGAUUAUUGGGCCUAAAGCAUCCGUAGCCUGCUCUGUAAGUUUUCGGUUAAAUCUGUACGCUUAACGUACAGGCCGUCGGGAAUACUGCAGAGCUAGGGAGUGGGAGAGGUAGACGGUACUCGGGAGGAAGUGGUAAAAUGCUUUGAUCUCUCGAUGACCACCUGUGGCGAAGGCGGUCUACCAGAACACGUCCGACGGUGAGGGAUGAAAGCUGGGGGAGCAAACCGGAUUAGAAACCCGAGUAGUCC
rnacentral:rRNA from 1 species